rnacentral:lncRNA from 1 species
CUUGCAUCUGCUACUGAGGGAGCCUGCCAUUCCUUCUUCCCUUUUGCGCAUGGCUGCGGCUCAAGCCACUGGAAGAAUGAAGCCUCUGUCAGGGAGAAAGGAAGACAACGGAGUUCUGUUCACAGCUGUGCUCUGGUUUGUUCCCGCCAACCUGCAACCCAGCCCAGAGGAACCUGUGACCACAGGGCUCAUUUCCAGGAGAACCUGUGACGAGCAGGCUCAUUUCCUGAAAUGUCUGACUUGGAUCAGACUCUUAUCUUCAGAUGAUAUGAAAGGAAGAAUUAUAUGACCCAGUGUGCCCACAAAGCCAGGGCAUCACGGCCUCUGUUUGCUGUAAGUCAACACUGCCAGAUGAAGCAAUCCGGAUAGCCAAGACUAAAUAAGGGGAAAGGUCUUGGCUGCUGCCUUGGGAAAUGGUGAAGGAUAAAUGUGUGCCUGGAAUAUUGAAGUCACUGCACACCCAAUGAAAACCAACACGUGGCAGACACAGUGUUUCCUGC